AUUGAACGCUGGCGGCAUGCCUUACACAUGCAAGUCGAACGGUAACAGGUCUUCGGAUGCUGACGAGUGGCGAACGGGUGAGUAAUACAUCGGAACGUGCCUAGUAGUGGGGGAUAACUACUCGAAAGAGUGGCUAAUACCGCAUGAGAUCUACGGAUGAAAGCAGGGGAUCGCAAGACCUUGUGCUACUAGAGCGGCCGAUGGCAGAUUAGGUAGGUGGUGGGAUAAAAGCGUACCAAGCCGACGAUCUGUAGCUGGUCUGAGAGGACGAUCAGCCACACUGGGACUGAGACACGGCCCAGACUCCUACGGGAGGCAGGAGGGGGGAAUCUUGGACAAUGGGCGAAAGCCUGAUUCAGCAAUGCCGCGGGCAGGAUGAAGGCCUUCGGGUUGUAAACUGCUUUUGUACGGAACGAAAAGCCCUGGGUUAAUACCCUGGGGUCAUGACGGUACCGUAAGAAUAAGCACCGGCUAACUACGUGCCAGCCGCCGCGGUAA
rnacentral:rRNA from 1 species